rnacentral:tRNA from 1 species
GCCCAGGUGGUGAAAUUGGUAGACGCGCUGGCUUCAGGUGCCAGUGUCAGCAAUGACGUGGAGGUUCGAGUCCUCUCCUGGGCACCA